rnacentral:rRNA from 1 species
UACAGGGGGUGCAAGCGUUGCUCGGAAUCAUUGGGCGUAAAGCGCACGUAGGCGGUUCGUUAUGUCGGAUGUGAAAGCCCUUGGCUUAACCGAGGAAGUGCAUCCGAAACUGGCGAGCUAGAGUACUAAAGAGGAACGCGGAAUUCCCGGUGUAGAGGUGAAAUUCGCAGAUAUCAGGAGGAACACCGGUGGCGAAGGCGGGUCUCUGGGCAGUAACUGACGCUGAGGAGCGAAAGCGUGGGGAGCGAACAGG